rnacentral:lncRNA from 1 species
AACGAAAAGGCGGACGCACCCUGAUCAUCUGUCCUGUGACGGGCUCAGCCAUUGGAUCGCGAAUCUGCGUUCGCGCAUGCGUGGUCCUAGAGCUACGGUGACACUUCGCGUGCGGUGUAGGCGCAUCUUCGCUCUGUUGGCCGUGGCUUUAGUAAGCACACACCUGCCUGCUACUCUGGUUAUCGUGGCGACGGCAGGUCUGGAUUGCCAGACAGGUUUUUCUUUUUACCUCGAGGCUUUCUCUGAAGGGAGUCGGAGCAUUUAAAAGGCGGCCUCAAGGUGGAUUGAGUCGGGGGAGGAUUAGCAGUAUUUGCUUAGGUUGUAAAACCGCGACUUUAUCUAAUAAAUCGCCAUUCAAGGUGCAAAUACAAACUUGGAACAGAGAUUGCAUUUGGGUUUAAACAGAGGACUUAAUCAUAGCAUGGACAGAAAAGGCUCACCAUCUAUCUAAAUGACUCUGAUUGCACCAUCAUCCUCAUUGUUCUUGUGGAGUCUCGCUCUGUCGCCCAGGCUGGGGUGGAGUGACGCGAUCUCGGCUCACCGCAAGCUCCGCCUCCCGGGUUCACGCCAUUCUCCUGUCUCAGCCUCCCCAGUAGCUGGGACUACAGGCGUCCACCACCACGCCCGGCUAAUUUUUUGUACUUUUAGUAGAGACGGGUUUCACCGUGUCAGCCAGGAUGGUCUCGAUCUCCUGACCUCGUGAUCUGCCCGCCUCAGCCUCCC